CGCCUCCCCCUUUGGAGGCGUCUCCUCCCUGAACCUUGGCCACCCCAUGCUCUGCAUGGGGUGGUUUUUUCUGUGAGGU
rnacentral:sRNA from 1 species